GGGGAUCGUAAGACCUUGCGCUGAUGGAUGAGCCGAAGUCAGAUUAGCUAGUUGGUGAGGUAACGGCUCACCAAGGCGACGAUCCGUAGCUGGUCUGAGAGGACGACCAGCCACACUGGAACUGAGACACGGUCCAGACUCCUACGGGAGGCAGCAGUGGGGAAUAUUGGACAAUGGGGGAAACCCUGAUCCAGCGACGCCGCGUGUGUGAAGAAGGCCUGCGGGUUGUAAAGCACUUUUAGUGGGGAUGAAAUGUGCANGGCUAAUACCU
rnacentral:rRNA from 1 species